GCCUGGCUGGUUCAGUCAGUAGAGCAUGUGACUCUCAAUCUUGAGAUCAUGAUUUCAAGUCCCAUGUUGGGCG
rnacentral:tRNA from 1 species